CGGCAACAGCUCAAAUUUGAAAUCUGGCUCCUUCGGGGCCCGAGUUGUAAUUUGCAGAGGAUGCUUCGGGUGCGGUACCUACCGAGUUCCCUGGAACGGGACGCCAUAGAGGGUGAGAGCCCCGUCUGGUAGGACACCUAGCCCGUGUGAAGCUCCCUCGAC
rnacentral:rRNA from 1 species